AUGGCUUCAUGGAGCGCAGCUGUAGUGGGCGUGCUGGUGUUUGUGGUGUUGGGCAUGGGAGCAGGGCCGGCGGCGGCGAAGAUGGCGUGCAAGGGCUGCCCCACGUACUGCAGCUCGAUGUGCAACAGCACCAUCAGGGGAGUGGCGUCGUCGAGCAACUGGUAUUUCUGCAACGGCCCCUGUGGCUCACCGACGAACUGCGUGGAGGGCUGCAAGUCCUCCGGCCGCGCGCCGUGCUUGAGCGCCUGCGCAAGCUCGUGCAGCCCCUCGGCCGGGAAUACCUACUGCUCCAGCUUCUGCGCCGGCUCUUGCAGCCGCAUCGACUACGAAACCGCGUGCAAGAGUAGGUGCUGCCCUUCCCGUCGGCAGUGCGACGAACGCAUCAGCGGCAUCAUCCAGACGUGCAUCACCGGCUGCACCACCGGCUGCCAGGCCAACUGUGUCACCGCCUGA
rnacentral:rRNA from 1 species